rnacentral:rRNA from 1 species
GCACAAGCGGUGGAGCAUGUGGUUUAAUUCGACGCAACGCGAAGAACCUUACCUGGGCUUGACAUGUGCGGAAAUCCUACGAAAGUAGGCUCCGGGGCAACCCGGCCGCAACACAGGUGCUGCAUGGCUGUCGUCAGCUCGUGCCGUGAGGUGUUGGGUUAAGUCCCGCAACGAGCGCAACCCUUGUCGUGUGUUGGUCCACAAGAUCUCUCACACGAGACCGCCGAUGAGAAGUCGGAGGAAGGUGGGGAUGACGUCAAGUCAGCAUGGCCCUUACGUCCAGGGCUACACACGUGCUACAAUGCGCGCGACAACGAGCUGCGAACCCGCGAGGGCAAGCCAAUCUCAUAAACGCGCGCUCAGUUCGGAUUGAAGGCUGCAACUCGCCUUCAUGAAGUCGGAAUCGCUAGUAAACGCAGAUCAGCUACGCUGCGGUGAAUACGUUCCCGGGC